AUGAAGCAGCAUGAGCAUGACCAGCGUAAAGAGUCAGAGAGCCGUGUCUCUCUACAGUCAGAGGUUUUUGUACGGCGGCUCAAUGAGUUUGUAUCACUGUGGUGGACUUUUGGUGGAGGAACCAGACUGGAUGUUAACUUGGGUCGAGUCCCCCCCUCCCUGACCGUGCUGGCGCCCUCUAGUGAGGAGCUGCAGCAGGGGAAGGCUACAGUCAUGUGUGUGGCCAACAAGGGCUUCCCCUCAGACUGGAGGCUGUCCUGGAAGGUGGACGGAAGAAGCAGCAGUGGAGAGGAGAGCAGGAGCCCCGGGGCGCUGCAGAAUGACGGCCACUACAGCUGGAGCAGCACCCUGAGGCUCCCUGCAGACCAGUGGGAGAAGGUGGGCUCUGUGACCUGUGAGGCCACCCAGGGCUCCCACACUCCACUCUCACAGACUCUGAUGACAGACCAGUGUUCCCAGUCCUGAGCUGACUCACUGGGACUCUGAUACUGGCUUUAGUCUGCAGCUUCUCUCAGUCUGCUCCCUCUGUGUCUGUAUUGCUUUGAUAGUUUUCAUGUUUUCAUGCUUGUGGCACUGUUGAUGGUUUUAAUACUUCAAAUAAAAACUGAGGUCUUCAAA